GAGUUUGAUCCUGGCUCAGAACGAACGCUGGCGGCAGGCUUAACACAUGCAAGUCGAACGCCCCUUCGGGGGAGUGGCGGACGGGUGAGUAACGCGUGGGAAUGUGCCCUUUGGUACGGAACAACUGAGGGAAACUUCAGCUAAUACCGUAUGUGCCCUACGGGGGAAAGAUUUAUCGCCAUUGGAGCAGCCCGCGUUGGAUUAGGUAGUUGGUGGGGUAAUGGCCCACCAAGCCGACGAUCCAUAGCUGGUCUGAGAGGAUGAUCAGCCACACUGGGACUGAGACACGGCCCAGACUCCUACGGGAGGCAGCAGUGGGGAAUCUUGCGCAAUGGGCGAAAGCCUGACGCAGCCAUGCCGCGUGUAUGAUGAAGGUCUUAGGAUUGUAAAAUACUUUCACCGGGGAAGAUAAUGACGGUACCCGGAGAAGAAGCCCCGGCUAACUUCGUGCCAGCCGCCGCCGUAAC
rnacentral:rRNA from 2 species